rnacentral:rRNA from 1 species
CACGUAGGCACCAAGCGUUGUCCGGAUUUAUUGGGCGUAAAGAGCUCGUAGGCGGUUCAGUAAGUCGGGUGUGAAAACUUUGGGCUUAACCCAAAGCGUGCAUCCGAUACUGCUGUGACUUGAGUUCGGUAGGGGAGUGGGGAAUUCCUAGUGUAGCGGUGAAAUGCGUAGAUAUCUGGAGGAACACCGGUGGCGAAGGCGGUAUCCUGGACCGGCAUUGACGCUGAGGCGCGAAAGCCAGGGGAGCAAACGGG